rnacentral:rRNA from 1 species
UGGGGAAUUUUGGACAAUGGGCGCAAGCCUGAUCCAGCCAUGCCGCGUGCGGGAAGAAGGCCUUCGGGUUGUAAACCGCUUUUGUCAGGGAAGAAAUCUUCUGGGUUAAUACCUCGGGAGGAUGACGGUACCUGAAGAAUAAGCACCGGCUAACUACGUGCCAGCAGCCGCGGUAAUACGUAGGGUGCAAGCGUUAAUCGGAAUUACUGGGCGUAAAGCGUGCGCAGGCGGUUAUGCAAGACAGAUGUGAAAUCCCCGGGCUCAACCUGGGAACUGCAUUUGUGACUGCAUGGCUAGAGUGCGGCAGAGGGGGAUGGAAUUCCGCGUGUAGCAGUGAAAUGCGUAGAUAUGCGGAGGAACACCGAUGGCGAAGGCAAUCCCCUGGGCCUGCACUGACGCUCAUGCACGAAAGCGUGGGGAGCAAACAGGAUUAGAUACCCUGGUAGUCCACGCCCUAAACGAUGUCAACUGGUUGUUGGGAAGGUUCCUUCUCAGCAACGUAGCUAACGCGUGAAGUUGACCGCCUGGGGAGUACGGCCGCAAGGUUG